UACAGGAAGUUCAGGAUUACAAGGGCGGU
rnacentral:piRNA from 1 species